GAACUUCCUCUCUUCGGUCUCAUUCCAACAGAUUUUUGACUGGUACCCCCCCAGCCCUAAUCCCAAUGGCACCAAUGGAUGCGACAUUCCCAAGGUCGUGUGUUCAGAAAGUUGCCACCGUGCAAUCCCACAGACACCCACACGAAAGGUGAAGAAAUGCUGUAUACACUGCUCAGCAAAUGGCAGAUGUACCUUGGACACUGACGUCAGGAACAGGGCAGGAAGGGGUUCCUGACUUGGGGGCAGUUUGAGCAGCUUCAUAUGGCAUCGAAAGAUUUCCCAAAUGCCAGUUUGUGCUGCUUCAUUUGGCACCAAGAGAUGCUGCAACAUGCUUGCUUUUCUACAUCUGCCCACUGAAAGGUGCUCGGCUCACGGCGCAGUGGAGUAGUGCCAGUUGCAGCAUGCUUGUCCUUUAGGCUACCAUGACUGUUGGAGGGGAACCUGAAACUGGAUUCAGAAGUUUGCAUGAGUACUGGAUUUUUCAACGAGUAACCUGUAAUGAAUAGUUAGGUUUGUUUUUCACCCUCAAUGGCACCUAGGUGGCAGAUGGCUGUGUUUUGCUUGUUCCUACCAAUUCCAUUCAGCUGUCCGAACUGAGUUCCAAUGGACCCGUUUCAGAUUCUCUUUCCCCAAACCCCCUGGGGUUGGGGUGUUAAGUGUGUGAAAAUGUGGGGAAGGAACAUGCAGGCAUGUGACGACAGCACAAGAUUACCACUGACAUGAGCGUGUACCCCCUCGGUGCUGUUUUGGGAACAAAUUUAGCUAACUUAAUGAAUGGAGCCUGCUCAUUUUGGUAGUGAUGGUCUGAGGAGCUUUCUGGAAAAGUUCCAUGUAAACCGUUUCAAUGUAUAAAUGAGAUUUGUACCUUCUAUUUUUGUAAUAAACAAGUUUGAAAUA